AAUACAUCGGAACGUGCCUAGUAGUGGGGGAUAACUACUCGAAAGAGUAGCUAAUACCGCAUGAGAUCUAAGGAUGAAAGCAGGGGACCUUCGGGCCUUGCGCUACUAGAGCGGCCGAUGGCAGAUUAGGUAGUUGGUGGGAUAAAAGCUUACCAAGCCGACGAUCUGUAGCUGGUCUGAGAGGACGACCAGCCACACUGGGACUGAGACACGGCCCAGACUCCUACGGGAGGCAGCAGUGGGGAAUUUUGGACAAUGGGCGCAAGCCUGAUCCAGCAAUGCCGCGUGCAGGAUGAAGGCCUUCGGGUUGUAAACUGCUUUUGUACGGAACGAAAAGCUUCUGGUUAAUACCUGGGAGUCAUGACGGUACCGUAAGAAUAAGCACCGGCUAACUACGUGCCAGCAGCCGCGGUAAUACGUAGGGUGCGAGCGUUAAUCGGAAUUACUGGGCGUAAAGCGUGCGCAGGUGGUUAUGUAAGACAGAGGUGAAAUCCCCGGGCUCAACCUGGG
rnacentral:rRNA from 1 species